rnacentral:rRNA from 1 species
UACGGAGGAUCCAAGCGUUAUCCGGAAUUACUGGGCGUAAAGAGUUGCGUAGGUGGCAUGGCAAGUAGGUAGUGAAAUCCUGGGGCUCAACCCUUUAAACAUUAUCUAAACUGCCAAGCUAGAAUAUAGAAGAGGUCGCUGGAAUUCCUAGUGUAGGAGUGAAAUCCGUAGAUAUUAGGAGGAACACCGAUGGCGUAGGCAGGCGACUGGUCUAUUAUUGACACUAAGGCACGAAAGCGUGGGUAGCAAACGGG